CCUACGGGCGGCAGCAGUGGGGAAUAUUGCACAAUGGGCGCAAGCCUGAUGCAGCCAUGCCGCGUGUGUGAAGAAGGCCUUCGGGUUGUAAAGCACUUUCAGCGGGGAGGAAGGCGUUAAGGUUAAUAACCUUGGCGAUUGACGUUACCCGCAGAAGAAGCACCGGCUAACUCCGUGCCAGCAGCCGCGGUAAUACGGAGGGUGCAAGCGUUAAUCGGAAUUACUGGGCGUAAAGCGCACGCAGGCGGUCUGUCAAGUCGGAUGUGAAAUCCCCGGGCUCAACCUGGGAACUGCAUUCGAAACUGGCAGGCUAGAGUCUUGUAGAGGGGGGUAGAAUUCCAGAUGUAGCGGUGAAAUGCGUAGAGAUCUGGAGGAAUACCGGUGGCGAAGGCGGCCCCCUGGACAAAGACUGACGCUCAGGUGCGAAAGCGUGGGGAGCAAACAGGAUUAGAUACCCCUGUAGUC
rnacentral:rRNA from 1 species